GGGACCUUGGGGGCAAUGGGGGAUAUUGGGGACAUCAUUGGGGAUAGGGGGACAUGGGGGACAUGGGGGACAUUGGGGGCAAUGGGGGAUAUUGGGGACAUUGGGGACAUCAUUGGGGAUAGGGGGACAAUGGGGUCAAAGGGGACGUUGGGGACCUCAUUGGGUGUAUGGGGUCGUUGGGGACAUUGGAGACAUUGGGGACACUGAGAGUAAUGGGGGACAUUGGGGACAUUGGGGACAUUGGGGACAUCUUUGGGGAUAUGGGGGCAAUGGGGUCAAAGGGGACAUUGGGGACAUCUUUGGGGAUAUGGGGACAUUGGGGACAUUGGGGUCAGUGGGGACAUUGGGGGCAUUGGGGACAUCAUUGGGGACAUUGGGGUUAUGGGGACAUCAUUGGGGACAAUGGGGACAUUGGGAAGUUGGGGACAUUGGGGACAUCUCAGGGUGGGGACACCAUUGGGGACAUUAUUGGGACAUUACGGGGUCAUUAUGGGGACAUUAUGGGGACACCACGGGGACAUCUGUGUGGGGUUAUGGGGACAUUAUGGGACAGAUAUGGAGACCUUAUGGGGCAGAUGGGGCCACUGUAGGGCCACUAUAGGGCCAUUAUAGGGCCAUCCUGGGGCCAUUGUAGGGCCAUUAUAGGGCCGUCCUGGGGCCAUUAUAGGGCCAUUAUAGGGCUGUCCUGAGGCCACUGUAGGGCCAUUAUAGGGCCAUUUUAGGGCCGUCCUGAGGCCACUGUAGGGCCAUUAUAGGGCCAUUAUAGGGCCAUUUUAGGACCGUCCUGAGGCCACUGUAGGGCCAUUAUAGGGCCAUUGUGGGGACGUUGUAGGAUUGUAGGGCCAUUAUAGGGCCACUAUAGGGCCGUCCUGAGGCCUCUGUAGGGCCAUUAUAGGGCCAUCGUGGGGCCGCUGUAGGAUUGUAGGGCCAUUAUAGGGCCAUUGCGGCGCCGUUGUAGGAUUGUAGGGCCAUUAUAGGGCCAUUAUGGGGCCGUUGUAGGAUUGUAGGGCCAUUAUAGGGCCAUUAUGGGGCCGUUGUAGGAUUGUAGGGCCAUUAUAGGGCCAUUGUGGGGCCGUUGUAGGAUUGUAGGGCCAUUAUAGGGCCAUUAUGGGGCCGUUGUAGGAUUGUAGGGCCAUUAUAGGGCCAUUAUGGGGCCGUUGUAGGAUUGUAGGGCCAUUAUAGGGCCAUUAUGGGGCCGUUGUAGGAUUGUAGGGCCAUUAUAGGGCCAUUGUGGGGCCGUUGUAGGAUUGUAGGGCCAUUAUAGGGCCAUUUUAGGGCCGUCCUGAGGCCACUGUAGGGCCAUUAUGGGGCCGUUGUAGGAUUGUAGGGCCAUUAUAGGGCCAUUGUGGGGCCGUUGUAGGAUUGUAGGGCCAUUAUAGGGCCAUUGUGGGGCCGCUGUAGGAUUGUAGGGCCAUUAUAGGGCCAUCGUGGGGCCGUUGUAGGAUUGUAGGGCCAUUAUAGGGCCAUCGUGGGGCCGUUGUAGGAUUGUAGGGCCAUUAUAGGGCCAUUGUGGGGCCGUUGUAGGAUUGUAGGGCCAUUAUAGGGCCAUUGUGGGGCCGUUGUAGGAUUGUAGGGCCAUUAUAGGGCCAUUGUGGGGCCGCUGUAGGAUUGUAGGGCCAUUAUAGGGCCAUUGUGGGGCCGUUGUAGGAUUGUAGGGCUGUGCCGCUGUUGCCGUCCCUCCGUUGCCACCACAAACGGGCGGUGCCACCACGGGCAGUGACGCAGCCGCGGUGACACCCAAAGCCCCCCGCGAUGGCGCCUCUCUUCCUCCUCCUCCUCCUCCUCCUCUCCCCCUCCCCGACUUCCGCCCACCCGGAUUUCGCCUACAGCGCCCCCAACCGCCCGGAGGUCCGCACCACCACCG
ensembl:lncRNA